ACUUGCUUAUGCUUUGGUGGCGUUGCUACUUGGAGUGGUCUUUAAGGUGUAAACCUCAGGCCACUCUGCCUUCUCCCAGAGCAAGGACAGAGAGAUGGCCGUAGCCCACUGCCUAGCGUGGGCCUCACACAUUGAUACCAUGCAGUAAUCAGUAUAUGUUUUUUGCAUGAUGAGUACAUGCAUGUACAAGCAGGGACUGCACGUUAGUUUGCCAUUUUAAUAAGAUAACUCCUUAUUGGGGAAAUAUCGCUUGUAAAGCUUAGAAGAAAUGGAAAUAUCACUUGGAGCAAUUUUAAAGCACGUGGUAAAAUCAUGAAGAGAGGCUACCCUCAUCCCUCUGAGGGCCUCUCUGUGGGUCUGCAAGCACCACUCGCCAGCUGUCUCCUGGUGGGAACAUCAGGUGCAGCCCACUGUCAGGUGCAGCUGUCUCGGCCCUGCUGUGUCUGGGGUCAGUGGGCACUGGAGUCAUCUUCGCAGACUGCACCUGGAGCUGUGCCCCUUAGCCUCCUGCUCCUGCCCCGACCCAGAUGCAGCCUCAGCGUCCUGCAGCACAGAGCUCUCGACUGUCCCUGCCCAGCAGGGGGCGCCGGGCAGCACUGGUCCCACUCCCUCAGGUGGUGUCACUCCUCACCCGAGGAGCUGAGUUCCAGGCACAGAAUUCCUCCUGUCACCAUAGGGAGACAAGACACACAGGACUUGGGUGGCUGUGGAACAUCAGAAAGAAGGGGCUAAUAUUGCAUGACCGUUGCCUAAAAUGCAGUGUGAAAAUUGCCAUGCCUUCAGCUCGAAAUCAGCCACCCCCAGCAUCACUUCAGCAAGUGGAGAAGAGCAGGGCUGACUGAAUGCCUCUAGGGAUCCACACUCUGUUCCCCAGUACAUUCUCCUUCGGAGGUUCCCCCAGCUCCUCGGUGAUGGUCUCCUUGGAGCUUGAGUUCUUCCCAUCCUCUCCUACCCCCCAUCAGAGUGUAGACCGAUUCCAGCCUCCACAAGGGCCCCACCCUCCAAAGCCCAGCCUCGGUAUUCCGCAGUGACUGCCCAGUGGUAGGUGCGGCAGGACAUGUAAGGGAAAAGUCACCCAAGAACGAGGGGCAGAUCUCGCCAGAAGGGGCACAGGUGUGUGUCCAUGUCUGCAGGAGAGGACAACGGGCUCAGCCACUUCUGCCUGGCAGGGCCAGGUGCUCCCUGUCACUAGGCUCUGUGCAGAUGGCCCUGCAAAGAAACACCCCAUUGUCCACCUGAGAAGCAGACACCUGUGGGGCCGUCUCCUCGUCUGGGGCACCCAGGGUCCCGAGUGGCCCAUCCUCCCUCCCUGGGCUCGGUUCAUUUUGUUUUGGAGAGUGGUUAAUCUCAGUGUCACACCCGGUACCACCGCACGUCCCAGUGCACGCCACAUGUCACCUCUCAGGACAAUGGGACAGCUUUAUCAAGAGUAUUUCAAUUCCAAAACCCCUCAGUUAGGCACGGCUUUGCUCGAGGAACAAUCUGAUUCUGGGAAAAGGUUAUCUGCAUCUUCUAAGAGUGUUACCACGAUACCAGGAAUACAAAGAUGAGUUUGAGCAUCAUCCUUUCGGGAAAUGUAAAUACCUAAAGCAAAGGAUUCUAGGGCAACUGUUUUUCUUCCCCAUUAUCAACUCCAUAAAGAGUCUUUUCUGACUUCUUUUUCAAUUGUCCCCUCCUGGCCUUUUAAUAACAUAGAUAUGCUGUGUAUCUGUUUAUGUUCUAUAUGUGUACUUAGACUUUGUUUAGAAAAGAGUAAGAUUUUUCCACCUCCAAGAACCAGUGAUCACUCCCUUGAGGGCUCUGUCACCCCUGUGGAGAAUGCAGCACGGUCAGGCAUGUAAAAGGGUCUCUUACCGGGUCCUCUUUCAGGUGGUGGACUUAGAUUAGUAGAUAAUCCUUCCUGGGCCACGGGCCUCAUGACUGGUCAGUAGUGUUGCCAGAUUUCACAAACUGUAUAUAUAGAAUGUCCAGUUAAACUUGAAUUUCAGACAAACAAAUCCUUUUUUAAGUAAAAGUAUGUCCUAUGCCAUAUUUAGACAUCGUUUGUUGUAUCUGGCAAUGCUACUUGUAAGGAUCCUACUCUUCUGAGGAUAGAAAGUGCACUUCCCAUUAAGUAAGAAUUUUCAUUAACAGGAAGAACGUGAGCCUCCAUUUAAUAGGCUGGGCAAAAGGAUGCCAAAUGACUUUUGAUGUAGUUUUUAUUUUCAUGAGCUUAUUUCAACAAAGGAUGUUAAAAACAGCCAAACAUCAGCAGGGCGCAGUGGCUCACAUCUGUAAUCCCAGUACUUUCGGAGGCCGAGGCGGGUGGAUGAUUUGAGUCCAGGAGUUCGUGACCAGCCUGGGCAACGUGGCAAAACCCUGUCUCUAUAAAAAAAUAAAAUAAAACAGUCAAACAUAUUG
rnacentral:lncRNA from 10 species